rnacentral:rRNA from 1 species
AUUCCAGCUCCAAUAGCGUAUAUUUAAGUUGUUGCAGUUAAAAAGCUCGUAGUUGGAUUUUGGUUAAGAGGGCGCGGUCGGCCGUUUGGUCUGUACUGCGUCGUCUUGACUUCCUGAUGAGGACAUGCUCUUGGUUAACGCUGAGACAUGGAGUCAUCGUGGUUACUUUGAAAAAAUUAGAGUGUUCAAAGCGGGCUUACGCUUGAAUAUAUUAGCAUGGAAUAACACUAUAGGACUCCUGUCCUAUCUCGUUGGUCUCGGGAUGGGAGUAAUGAUUAAGAGGAACAGUUGGGGGCAUUCGUAUUUCAUUGUCAGAGGUGAAAUUCUUGGAUUUAUGAAAGACGAACUUCUGCGAAAGCAUUUGCCAAGGAUGUUUUCAUCA